UGGCCUUGCAGAACAUAAUAACUGAACUAU
rnacentral:piRNA from 1 species